GCGCCUGGCUGCAGACUGCAGACGGAGGGAACGUGCACCUGCAGAGCUCCAGCCCAAGGGACAUCGGAGGCCCAAAGAUGGGUGGAGAGCCCCCAGUCUCUGUGUCUCACCCACAAUCUUCUUGCCCUUUGAUUCUGUAGGUUUGAGAUUUAUGGGGACUUUUAUUCUUGCAUUGCUCUUUUAGUUUCUGGAACCCUCGAUCAGGAAAGGAAACGGACAUUCCCAUCAGACGUUUUUCACAGCUUCCAUUGUAGCUGUGAUAGGCUCGGCCUAAGACACGGGGCUCAGGGAGAAGUCACUGGCUGCCUCACGGGUUGUUUUAGCUCCUGCUGACUUUGAACUCAUUAUGUAGCCCUGGCUGGCUUUGAACUUGGGCCAGCCUCCUGCUCAGCCUCCUGAGAGCUGGGAUUACAGGUACUCAAGUUCCUAGGGAAGGAGAGGAAUUUCGCACACACAUGCUUUGAUUUCCUAAUGCCUCCAGUCAGGCCUUGGGCCAUCAACAGAAGCCCUGCAGUUCCUACAAAGCGCCAGAAGGUGAUCUCCCCCGACACCACUGCCGGUCCCCCACAGUUCUAUCAUAUGGUUCUCUGACUGGGAAUGGCAGAUGAGAGACUCCUGGGCCCUCCCAGUUUAAGUCCCCUGCCAUUCAGGACCAAGACUGGACUGCAUCCUGCAUUAAUUCCUCACUUCUACACUCGGGAGCUGUAAACUUGUCCUGCUGGUUCACAAACAACACCGACCCAAUUUACCACAGGUGAGCAAACCCCCGGAGAUUGCUGCUGGGCCAGGCCCCAGGUGGGUUUUCUCCCCCUUUCCGUGGGUUUGUGUGACACUCUCACGUCCUUAGAUAGCCCAAGGCAGAGUCUUUCUGGGCCAACCUGUGUCCACACUGGGAGAUUCUCACAUCCUUUGGGUUUGGUUAGCCCAAGGCAGAGUUUUCCUGGGCCAGCCUGCAUCCACACUGAGAGACUCUCACGUCCUUCAGAGUUUUUUAAGUUCUCAUGGGCAGAGCUGUUACUAAACCCAUGUGAAAUCCACUUGUAUGUUGGUGACAGGCAAUUAUUACGAGCUUUGGAACCAUAUAACACCGAUCGGUCUAGCGUAAAAAGUGACGACUUACACUUAGUAGACCACGGUCCGUUACCUCAUCUGGCUAUAACUCCAUGGGCCAGACCCCACACCAGAUUUUAUCUUGGGGACCACUUCCUGUCCCCCCGCAAAAAACCAUAUCUAUCUAUGGCUUAUCACCCUGACGACGAGUUUGCAAAACUCUAUCUUUAAGCCUUUGUUUUGAGAAUGUGCCCUUUCCCGCCAGCAUUCCUGUCCCCUCUGUUUCCUUGCCACUUUAACUUUCCCGCUGUGCACCAACCCAUUCCCCGCCGAGAUGGGGGAAGUGAGCCCAAACAGUGUUGGGAGAUACUGCUGCUUUAAGCUGUCACGCCAGGCCCCAACUCCGUGCGGUAUCUCGGCUCUCAUACCGCGCUCCGGGUUCAGGUGGGUUCGGCUCUAACGCCACGCCCUAAUCUGUGCAUCUCGUGUGGAGCAGUUCCAGCUCCACAAGGUGGAUCAGCUCUGUGUCGGUCCGUUGGUCCGCCAGUGUGUAAGGUUCCAGCUUCACGCUCUGUCCCAACUCUGCCUCCCAGCCCCCCACCCCCGUGAGCCGCUGCCCCUGCCACCGUGAGCCCGCUGCCGCCUUGCACACGUUUCCGGGGGACAGUCCCAGCCCGCCCCACAGGCUACAUCCUGGUGCUUGCCCACCUUCACUCUGUGUGCCCCGCCCCCGUGCUGGGCGUGCUCUGCCUGCGUGCCGGACCACAAACACAAACAGCAGUUUGGCGGCUCGGCUCAGAGAUGCUAUUUUUUUUUAACAUUCUCAAAACAUUUAAUCAAGGUUAAAUAAGCCAGCAAUAGUAAGACUUUGGCUGAUAUAUGAGAAAGUGGCCACCUGGUAAUUUUACCAGCCUUGUUUAUCAAUUAAAGCCUUCAGUAAUCUCCUGUUUAACAACUAAAAUUAAGAUUUAUAAAUUCUUUUUGCUAUAAAACACCAGUAAGCUUACUGCCUAUAUUAUACUGUUUUGUCACAGAUCUUAAAAAAAUAAUUAUAAAUUCCUUUUGCUGGGAACCAUUAGCUCUUUUCUAAAACAAGGGUUAUAUGAUACAUGCAAAACAGCAAAACCAACACUGCGGCAGAAGCCAAACUUAAACCUUUCCCAGCCUGUCUGCCUCCCCGGCUCAGCCCUCCACCGAGCCAUAAUUAACUAUAUUCAACUGAUAUUAAAUAACACUGAAGCUGAUUUCUGUCAUAAAUAAAAAGAUAAAAAAAUUAAUUAAACAGGCCAUCCUCUAAAAAUCAGAUGGCAUUAGACAUUUUAAUAACAUAAAGAGAUACUUAUAUAUAUGACAUAAAUAACAUGUCAGUUCCUAAAAUUCUCUGGAUCUGUCCUCCUUAUGAGAAGCCAUUACUAAAAUUAUAAGUACCCUGUUGAUUAUAUUUGACGCCUGCAUACUUACCUAAUUCUACAGAUACCUUUUACUGCAGUCCAGAUCCUAAACAAAAAGGCAAAACUUGACCUUCAAACCUCAUAGAGACCUUAAUAUGGUUUUUCAUGUUUUCAACAACAGAGAUAACACUUGUGCCACUUGGAGUUCUGAGACAGGUAAACCGACACAAGGUGGAGCUGCCUGGGCCCCCCAUGGACCAUGCGUCAAAUGCAGCAGAAGGACAUUGGGCAAGAGAGUGCCCCAUCCUGACGUUCCUUUGGGAGCCUGCCCCAGGGCUACUGGACUGUCCUAGCCACCAGAGAGUGGGUAAGCCAUCCUAACUUCCAGCCCUCACAGGAAAUGCCAACACUGCCAGAUUCAUUGCUGACAGAUCUGCUUAAACUUGCUGCCGAAGACUGACAGGGCUCAGGGCCAACAGCAGCCCCCUUAAGGUGUCUGUCUCAGGGUCCCAAGUCCCACUAACAGUUUCAGGUAAGACAUUCUCUAUUAUUUGUGGACAUAGAGGCCAUAUAUACAGAGUUCUUCCUGAGUUUUCAGGCUGCUAUAGUAAGUUCUCAAUCUCUAGGGGCUAUUGAUGGUCAACCUAUGCCAUUUACAAACAGGGCCUAUUUCGUGCAGGUUCCAGACUGCUUCUUCCCAGUCCACCCAGUGGUGCCAGACCUUCCCUCCACCACUCACUCUACUGUCCUAACUCUUAAAAAUGGUUUUUAUUCCUUUGUGUUUAUACAGACUGACUCAGACACUGAGGCCUCAACAUCUUGUUAUCGCUAGUAAACCUCUCCUCAGUGAUACAGACCACCCCUUCCUUUCUUAUUCACCAGUUUCUCAGACAACCCUGGUCAAGACUGACAGAUAAAUUUUGUCUUCUCACUUUGUUCAUACUUUUUCAGGAUACAUAAAAGCCUUUCACACAACCAGUGAGACUGCUGAUAUACUUACUAAAGUCCUGUUACAGCAAAUCAUUCCAAAGAUGACAACCAGGUUACAGUGACCCAUACCUGAUAUUCUUGGCAACCUCAACAGUAAUCAAAGUUGCUAGACUGCCAUCCUGGUUUCACAUCACUCAGGCUAAGUGGUGCCCUUCCAGCCUUAGAUCUAACCGUCCUGUUGCCUACUCAUCUCUGCCUUACAAAGGCCCCAAAGCCACAACUCUCAGGCUGUCAUGUUCUGUUAUUCAAUUUGGUUUCUAAUUUCUUAUCAUUUUUACAGCAGGACUCUUGACAGUCUUUCCUAAAGACUCCCACAUCAUGCAUAAGAUCAUCUUCAUAAUGUUCUAUGUGACAACUCUCUUAGUCCUUUCUACCCUCAGCUGUUUGGUUAAACAUGACAUCCCUGAAAGCCUAGGCCCUUACCUUCCCUAUACUGGCACAGCCACCGCCUUCCCAGCUCCCCCUAUUUUUUCCAGUUCAACGCCUGGACCAGAGACAAGUUUUAUCCACCUACCCUCUUAACUUUUACCCUUUCAGAUGGGGGAGUAAUCACCUCUCACAACUUCACUCCUCCUAACCCCACAUUUAAUUUUCAGAAUUCUGCCUUACCAUGGAAAUAUUCCUACCUCAACGUGGUCCUGAUAUAAUGACAUGUAUAAAUCAAAGGCACCUUUCCUUCUACCUCACCUGAGUCCUUAAAUAUGACAGUGCCGUGCCUCCUCAUAACAUCUUGUCUCUUUGUUUUUCCAGUCUAACAUACGUGCAUUCACCAGUGAUAAAGUUGUCCUGCCUAGAACACCUGGCACCAGCUUCUACCUGGGCAUCAACCGGCAUCCCCUCGACUCCCCUAGACCCCAGUACAGCGCCCCCUGCCAGUAGGAAGCAGUAAAGAAAGAAAUCUUUGCUCCUUUUCAUAAUAAUCAUAAGACGGAUAUGAAAGAGUUUUGGCCCAGACAAGACAAUAUAAUUGGUAAAGCCUGGGGGUGGAACCAAGGAGCUCCAUCUCCCCCACCCCUAGGAAUUUACCUGUGGCUCUAUCUUCCCCACCCCUAGGAAUGUGCCCCUGGCACCAAAAGAAUACCAGUGGGCUACCCGUGCAUCCCUAAUGCCCCUCAGGCACCACCCCCAACCUAAGCUGCAGGUAUGCCUCCACUCCACAUGUUCCAUGGAAAGAUUGAUGACCCUGGGGGGAGAUGUUGUGCCCCAGGGGGUUGGGGGUGUCUCUCCCCGCAUUCUCAAAAUAAAGGUCAUUUAUAUUUCA